AACGAACGCUGGCGGCAGGCCUAACACAUGCAAGUCGAGCGCGCCCUUCGGGGUGAGCGGCGGACGGGUUAGUAACGCGUGGGAACGUGCCCUUUGGUACAGAAUAGCCUCUGGAAACGGAGAGUAAUACCGUAUGAGCCCUUCGGGGGAAAGAUUUAUCGCCAAAGGAUCGGCCCGCGUUAGAUUAGGUAGUUGGUGGGGUAAUGGCCUACCAAGCCUACGAUCUAUAGCUGGUUUUAGAGGAUGAUCAGCAACACUGGGACUGAGACACGGCCCAGACUCCGUACGGGAGCAGCAGGUGGGGAAUCUUGGACAAGUGGGGGACAACCCUGACUCCAGCCAUCGCCGCGUGAGUGAUGGAACGCCCGUAGGGUACGUAAAGCUUCUUUCGCCUGUGAAG
rnacentral:rRNA from 1 species